GAAUAUAAAGGUAUGAUCCCGGCUCUGAAUGAACGCUCGAAGUAAUAACUUCACACGUUGCUAGUCAAAACGUCUUUUUGCUAAAAGAAGUGGAGUGCGGGUGAAUACUGUUUAAACCUCCCUACAGUUCAACAUACAAUUGUUCUUCAGACUAGUUUAACUCUGAAUGAAAAGGAUUUAACCGCUGAUGGAUGGAUCAAUUCUAAGAUUAGAUAGUUGGUUGAGAGUAAUGCUCACCAAGUCCGGCGAUCUUUAAGCUGGUCUGAGGAAGGGACGGUCAACCACAUUGGGACUGAGACAAGGCCCGAGGCUCCUGCAGGGGCGGCAGUGCAGAAUCUUGGACAAUGGACAAAUGUCUGAUCCAGCAAAACUUGAUGAGUGACGAAAGGCGGAAGCCGUAAACCCUUUCGUCGGGAAGAUAAUGACAUAUACCAAAGCAAAGUCACGAUAAAACUCUGUCCAGCGGCCGCCGAACCAAUACAGAGGGGCAAGCGUUAUUCCUCUUUAUUCGGCGUAAAGGGUACGUAGGUGAACAAACUCAACUUU
rnacentral:rRNA from 1 species